rnacentral:rRNA from 1 species
GACGAACGCUGGCGGCGUGCCUAAUACAUGCAAGUUGAGCGCUGAGGGUUGGUACUUGUACCAACUGGAUGAGCAGCGCACGGGUGAGUCACGCGUGGGGAAUCUGCCUUUGUGCGGGGGACAACAUUUGGAAACGAAUGCUAAUACCGCAUAAAAACUUUAAACACAAGUUUUAAGUUUGAGAGAUGCAAUUGCAUCACUCAAAGAUGAUCCCGCGUAGUAUUAGCUAGUUGGUGAGGUAAAGGCUCACCAAGGCGAGGAUACAUAGCCGACCUGAGAGGGCGAGCAGCCGGACUGGGAGGGUGACACGGCCCAAACGGCUACGGGAGGCAGCAGUAGGGCAACGUCGGGAAUGGACGAAAGUCUGAGCGAGCAACGCGGAGGGAUGGAAGAAGGAUUUCGGAUCCUAGAUGACUGUCUGUAGGGAGUAACGCGGGUUCGCGUGGAAAGAUGAGUAAGUGACGGUAAUUGCUAAAAAAGGGACGGCUAACUACGUG